AGAGUUUGAUCCUGGCUCAGAUCGAACGCUGGCGGCAUGGCUAAAACAUGCAAGUCGCACGCGAAAGCCCCCUUCGGGGGAUGAGUAGAGUGGCGAAAGGGCGAGGAAUGCAUGGGUAACGUACCCCAGGCACGGGGAUAGCUGCGGGAAACUGCAGGUAAUACCCGAUGUGACCACGAAUUCUUCAGAAAGCGUGGUAAAAGGGCGGGGAUCCUUCGGGACCUGCCGGCCUGGGAGCGGCCCAUGUCCUAUCAGCUUGUUGGUGAGGUAACGGCCCACCAAGGCGACGACGGGUACCGGGACUGAGAGGUUGGCCCGGCGCAUUGGGACUGAGACACUGCCCAGACUCCUACGGGAGGCUGCAGUAACGAAUAUUGGACAAUGGGCGAAAGCCUGAUCCAGCAAUGCCGCGUGUGGGAUGAAGCCCUUCGGGGUGUAAACCACUGUUGGGGACUACCAAGCAGAGGGAGUCAAUAGCUCCCCGCGUUGAGGAGUCCCUGAGGAAGCCACGGCUAACUUCGUGCCAGCAGCCGCGGUAAGACGAAGGUGGCAAGCGUUGUUCGGAAUCACUGGGCUUAAAGAGCACGUAGGCGGGCUGCCAAGCGUCUUGUGAAAUCCCCCGGCUCAACCGGGGAGUGGCUCGACGAACUGGCGGCCUUGAGGCAGGUAGGGGCGAGUGGAACUCUUGGUGGAGCGGUGGAAUGCGUAGAUAUCAAGAGGAACGCCGGAGGCGAAGGCGACUCGCUGGGCCUGUCCUGACGCUGAGGUGCGAAAGCCAGGGGAGCGAACGGGAUUAGAUACCCCGGUAGUCCUGGCCCUAAACGAUGUCCACUAGGCCGGAGGUUCUCUGACGGAGUUCCGGCCGAAACAAAAGCGAUAAGUGGACCGCCUGGGGAGUACGGUCGCAAGGCUAAAACUCAAAGGAAUUGACGGGGGCUCACACAAGCGGUGGAGCAUGUUGCUUAAUUCGAUCAACGCGAAGAACCUUAUCCUGGGCUUGACAUACACGGAUGCCUACCUGGAAACAGGGUCGGUUGCUCUUCGGAGUGAAACGUGAACAGGUGCUGCAUGGCUGUCGUCAGCUCGUGUCGUGAGAUGUUGGGUUAAGUCCCCUAACGAGCGAAGCCCCUGCCGCUAGUUGCCAACGGUUCGGCCGGGGACUCUAGCGAGACUGCCGGUGUUAAACCGGAGGAAGGUGGGGAUGACGUCAAGUCCUCAUGGCCUUUAUGCUCAGGGCUGCAAACGUGCUACAAUGGCUGGUACAAACCGACGCAAGACCGCGAGGUGGAGCAAAUCGGAAAAAGCCGGCCCCAGUUCGGAUUGGAGUCUGCAACUCGACUCCAUGAAGUUGGAAUCGCUAGUAAUCGCGUAUCAGCUACGACGCGGUGAAUGUGUUCCUGAGCCUUGUACACACC
rnacentral:rRNA from 1 species